UAUUUCUAGAGUUUUUUUAGAGUCUUUUCAUGUACUCUAUGGAGAGGGACAACAAUGGAGAUGAGGAGACAUUUUAGAGCAAAAAGGUAAGGAAAAGAAGUUAAAGGACAAAUUCACUUUUAGAUUCAGUCAAGAGUGUCGAUUGACACCAGUUACGGCCCAGAGAAGUUCAUGACGCUUUUAAGUCUGAAGAAUUGGAAAUUUGCCCCAAAAGACUUCCCUAUUUUCAUUAUUAGUCCUUGAAUGCUUUUUAGGUCAUAUAUAUCAAGUUCUUUCAGAGACAUAAGCUAUUCAUCCCCUGCUUUCAGAGAUUGAUUAAGAGAUUUCAAUAACAGUGAAGAGAU
rnacentral:sRNA from 1 species